AGGCUCUGUCCUGCCCAACAGCUGCACCCAGCAGGACACCUGGCCUCCUCGCCGGGCCACCCGCCCUUCUGAGACAACAGACAGCACUGGCACUUGCAACCAGCCAGCCAACUGACCCUGGACGGAAGCCUGACUCCCAGAGUCCAAGCUCCUGGGAGGCCAGGCUGUACACCUACUUCCCCAGAGUUGGCUCAGCCCCUAUCUCAGGGCUGGAGGUUGAUAAUACAAGGCAAAUGACCCAGUC